AUUGAACGCUGGCGGCAGGCUUAACACAUGCAAGUCGAGCGGAGAUGAGGUGCUUGCACCUUAUCUUAGCGGCGGACGGGUGAGUAAUGCUUAGGAAUCUGCCUAUUAGUGGGGGACAACAUUCCGAAAGGAAUGCUAAUACCGCAUACGCCCUACGGGGGAAAGCAGGGGAUCUUCGGACCUUGCGCUAAUAGACGAGCCUAAGUCGGAUUAGCUAGUUGGUGGGGUAAAGGCCUACCAAGGCGACGAUCUGUAGCGGGUCUGAGAGGAUGAUCCGCCACACUGGGACUGAGACACGGCCCAGACUCCUACGGGAGGCAGCAGUGGGGAAUAUUGGACAAUGGGCGGAAGCCUGAUCCAGCCAUGCCGCGUGUGUGAAGAAGGCCUUUUGGUUGUAAAGCACUUUAAGCGAGGAGGAGGCUACCUGGAUUAAUACUCUAGGAUAGUGGACGUUACUCGCAGAAUAAGCACCGGCUAACUCUGUGCCAGCAGCCGCCGUAAUAC
rnacentral:rRNA from 1 species